rnacentral:rRNA from 1 species
CCUACGGGUGGCAGCAGUGAGGAAUAUUGGUCAAUGGGCGGAAGCCUGAACCAGCCAAGUCGCGUGAGGGAAGACGGUCCUAUGGAUUGUAAACCUCUUUAGGCGGGGAGCAAUGCGGGGCACGUGUGCCCCGAGGGAGAGUACCCGCAGAAUAAGCAUCGGCUAACUCCGUGCCAGCAGCCGCGGUAAUACGGAGGAUGCGAGCGUUAUCCGGAUUUAUUGGGUUUAAAGGGUGCGCAGGCGGAUUGUUAAGUCAGCGGUAAAAGGUCGGGGCUCAACCCGGGCCGGCCGUUGAAACUGGGGGUCUUGAGUUGGAGAGAAGUAUGCGGAAUGCGUGGUGUAGCGGUGAAAUGCAUAGAUAUCACGCAGAACUCCGAUUGCGAAGGCAGCAUGCCGGCGCCCGACUGACGCUGAGGCACGAAAGCGUGGGUAUCGAACAGGAUUAGAUACCCGAGUAGUC